AGCGAACGCUGGCGGCAGGCUUAACACAUGCAAGUCGAGCGGGCAUCUUCGGGUGUCAGCGGCAGACGGGUGAGUAACACGUGGGAACGUACCCUUCGGUUCGGAAUAACGCUGGGAAACUAGCGCUAAUACCGGAUACGCCCUUAUGGGGAAAGGUUUACUGCCGAAGGAUCGGCCCGCGUCUGAUUAGCUAGUUGGUGGGGUAAUGGCCUACCAAGGCGACGAUCAGUAGCUGGUCUGAGAGGAUGAUCAGCCACACUGGGACUGAGACACGGCCCAGACUCCUACGGGAGGCAG
rnacentral:rRNA from 1 species